CUACGGGGUGCUGCAGUAAGGAAUAUUGCGCAAUGGAGGCAACUCUGACGCAGCCAUGCCGCGUGCAGGAAGAAGGCCUUAUGGGUCGUAAACUGCUUUUAUUUAGGAAUAAACCCCCGAACGUGUUCGGGGCUGAAGGUACUAAACGAAUAAGCACCGGCUAACUCCGUGCCAGCAGCCGCGGUAAUACGGAGGGUGCAAGCGUUAUCCGGAUUUAUUGGGUUUAAAGGGUGCGAGGGCGGGCUAUUAAGUCAGUGGUGAAAGCCCGGGGCUCAACUCCGGAACUGCCAUUGAUACUGAUAGUCUUGAGUUUGGUUGAAGUGGGCGGAAUGUAGCAUGUAGCGGUGAAAUGCAUAGAUAUGCUACAGAACACCAAUCGCGAAGGCAGCUCACUAAGCCAAAACUGACGCUCAUGCACGAAAGCGUGGGGAUCAAACAGGAUUAGAUACCCCGGUAGUC
rnacentral:rRNA from 1 species